rnacentral:rRNA from 1 species
GAUUAACGCUGGCGGCGUGCAUAACACAUGCAAGUCGAACGAAGUGGCGGACGGGUGAGUAACGCGUGAGUAACCUGCCUUAGAGAAGGGGAAAGACUUUGGAAACGAAGAAGAAUACCCUACGCGCUAAGAUGGACUUGCGUCUGAUUAGUUAGUUGGUGGGGUCACGGCCCACCAAGACAGCGAUCAGUAGCAGGCUUGAUAGAGUGUACGGCCACGUUGGGACUGAGACACGGCACAGACUCUGCGUGAGGCAGCAGUGGGUAAUGUUGCACAAUGGGGGAAACCCUGAUGCAGCGACGCCGCGUGAUUUAGAAGGCCUUCGGGUUGUAAAAAUCUUUUCUAUGGGAAGCGGUACCAUAAGAAAAAGCCCCGGCUAACUACGUUCCAGCAGCCGCGGUAAUUC